GAUGUCUCGCAAAACUCCAGAUCCUCUCUCUCUCUCUCUCUCUCUCUCUCUCUCUCUCUCUCUCUCGCUCUACGACUCAAGAACAUCAUGCCAGAUCUCUCAUCAGAUGCCGUUUCAUGACAAGAUCGUUGAAGUGGUUCCGACACCUGAGCUCUGGUGGAGGAGACUAGGGUUUCGGCGAAGAUAAAGCCAUCGGAGGCUGAACCACCGGUGCAGGUAUCAUCUUCAUCAUCUAAACUAUCAUUGUUGGGAACAUGGAUGCCGUUUAUUGUUUACAAUUAGAUCCAUUGGCCACUAUUGAACCAUCUUUCUUCAAGGUGAGAACAAGUUUAUCCUAUAACUUCUUAUUUUUGUUCCACCAAACAUUCUAUUUUUGUUCCAGCAAACAUUCUUAUACUUGUAAAUUGGAGGUUGAAAACCCAAUUAAUUGAGAUGUACGAUAGAUUACGGGUCGGAGCGGUUGCAGGCGGAACAUAUCCAGCAAUUGGAGUGGAUACAACCUGGUUAAGAAACAGGGCUCGAAGGCAGUAUACCUUCCAUAAAAUGGUCUGGUGUAGAUGGAGAGGAUAAUGUUUUAAUUAUUGAUUUGCUAGGACCGAGUCUUGAGGACCUGUUUGUGUACUGUGGGAGGAAAUUUCAAUUGAAAACAAUCUUGAUGUUGGCUGAUUAAAGGAAUUUCGAAUAUAUACCCUACAAGAGUAAGAAUUUGAAGACUCGAGCCAUUAAUGCUGAAAGACCAUUGAUGGGGAAUGAAAUGUAAAGAAGCACUUACAAAUUUUGGCUUUGAUACUGCCUAUAAGCGAAAGAAAGAGCUGCAUUUUCCAGAAUUUGCGGGCCCACUCAAGGUUAGGGAAGGCGGAAUUCUCUGAGACAGAUUUCGCCAUUUCUCACUAUGCUGGCAAGUUUUAUUGCUGGUCUUUUCCCAGCAUUGCUGAAGAAUCUUCUAGAUUUUCAUACAAAUUCUCUUCAGUGGCAUCUAGAUUUAAGCAACAACUGCAAGCUCUUAUGGAUACGCUCAGCUCAACAGAGCCUCAUUACGUCCGCUGUGUAAAGCCAAACUCAGUUAAUCGACCUCAAAAGUUUGAAAAUCAGAGUGUGUUACAUGAGCUACCUUAUCGGAUAAAGGAGGAUGUUGAGACUCAAGGGAAAUUCAUGAAUUCGUUAAUACGAGAGGUCAACAAUGUGAUUUAUCCGGAAAUAGAAGAUAUGGCGGCUUAUGUGAACUAGCUAGAUGAUGAACUCAGCUUUCUGUUAUCAUAUGAGCUAAAACAGGAAAUUUUGACCUGUUUAUGAAUAAAUGGGUCCAUUCGGGUUAUGUUUUUCCUUAAACGGGUUAGUUGGGUAAAAUAGUUAGCUUAAAACAUAGGUUGGAUGGAUCAAGAUAAAAUACAUACAUUUUAAUCAAAUUAAAACAUUAUUUUUAUCUAUUAAUCAUGGUUCUACUUUACUAUAUAAAGACCUAUUGACCAUUGUUGCAUGUAAUGCUUAUUGGAUAUUCCAGUCCGUGGCUGAAGUGGCACAGGAUGUGUGGGAACAUUACGACCACAAAUUUGGGACCGAUUAUUCUGGACUCUUCAGGUCUCUAUCAAAUGUUAAUUAUAAUGUUCGAAUGGCUGCUGCUGACGCACUAGCUGCUGUAUUAGAUGAGUACCCAGAUACAUUACAGUUGGAAACAGUGUGUUUUUGCCAUAGAAGAUGUGGUGGCUUUUGUGAACUGGCUGGAUGAUGAACUCGGCUUUCUUAUUGAUAGUGCGAGGAACGAUAGAAUUCUUCUUGAAACGCUUCAGAUUAUAGCAAGAUCGCAAGUAAGCAUUGAUGGCAUAACGAAUCAAUCGGACAUGGUUGCAGCAGGUCUGGAACCGAUAGAUAUUUCAAUCAUGUUAGUUCCCAUUGCUGCAGGAGGCAUCAUUGGUAACAAUUUUUUAUUUUUUUAUAAGGUAUGUUUCUUGGUAAGGCAUUUGGCUACAACUAAUGCUGGGUUUUAAAAAGUGCGCCUCCUUAGGCGCGUCAAGGUGCAAGCCUUUGCGCCUUUAGUAGCCUGAGGCGCACUUUUUACAAAAUGCGCAAAUUUGCAGAAAAGAAUCGUUCGAGUACAUGACUCACUUUUACGAUUUUCCUCAGUUAUGCUAUACGUUGUGCCUUUACGUCUACGUGACCCUUAAGACAGAUUCCACGAUUGCAGUCAAGGAUGUUGCAGACGUGCUGACUGGUUUGACAACAACCUCUAAUGACUACAGCCUGACAACAACACCGAUCUACACAUUACCACCAACAAUGUUGUCGUCUAGGGAAAUUCAGAUUGUUGUGAAGCUUGUUUUGCAAGUGAGUUUACAAAGUAUGCGGAAGGCAAUUAUUAAAUUUACGAGUUCUUAGAAAGGUUUGAGUAGGUGUUUGUGGUAUCGUUUGGUAGGAUGUUUGCUUUAGAUUUGUAAUUGGUGGUUUUGAUGAAAUUAAAUUCGUGUUGGUGAUGGAUUAUUAUUUUAAAUGAUGAACUGUUUAAAAUAUUU